GCCUUCGUGGUGUAAUGGUUAGCACACUCGACGCGUAUUCGAGAGGUCAGUGGUUCGAGUCCCGGUGAGCGCA
rnacentral:tRNA from 1 species